rnacentral:rRNA from 2 species
AAAUUGAAGAGUUUGAUCAUGGCUCAGAUUGAACGCUGGCGGCAGGCCUAACACAUGCAAGUCGAACGGUAACAGGAAGCAGCUUGCUGCUUCGCUGACGAGUGGCGGACGGGUGAGUAAUGUCUGGGAAACUGCCUGAUGGAGGGGGAUAACUACUGGAAACGGUAGCUAAUACCGCAUAACGUCGAAAGACCAAAGAGGGGGACCUUCGGGCCUCUUGCCAUCGGAUGUGCCCAGAUGGGAUUAGCUUGUUGGUGGGGUAAUGGCUCACCAAGGCGACGAUCCCUAGCUGGUCUGAGAGGAUGACCAGCCACACUGGAACUGAGACACGGUCCAGACUCCUACGGGAGGCAGCAGUGGGGAAUAUUGCACAAUGGGCGCAAGCCUGAUGCAGCCAUGCCGCGUGUAUGAAGAAGGCCUUCGGGUUGUAAAGUACUUUCAGCGGGGAGGAAGGGAGUAAAGUUAAUACCUUU